GAGCACUCAUGUUGCACCGUAUGUGUCUAUUGCUUGAGAUUUAUUGUGCUUUAAGUUGCUACAUUCAUGAUCUGAAAAAGAUGUUAGUUGAUGGACAUAGACUUGGCCAUGGUCCGGUUUGGAAUCAGAACUGAACUGGUGCUAACCAGAACCAGAACUGAAACUGGUCAAACCCAUAUCGGCUGAAACCAGACCGAACUGGU
rnacentral:misc_RNA from 1 species